rnacentral:rRNA from 1 species
UACGUAGGGUGCGAGCGUUGUCCGGAAUUACUGGGCGUAAAGGGCUCGUAGGCGGCCAACUAAGUCAUACGUGAAAUCCCUCGGCUUAACCGGGGAACUGCGUCUGAUACUGGAUGGCUUGAGAUUGGGAGAGGGAUGCGGAAUUCCUGGUGUAGCGGUGAAAUGCGCAGAUAUCAGGAGGAACACCAAUGGCGAAGGCAGCUCGCUGGGACGGUACUGACGCUGAGGCGCGAAAGCGUGGGGAGCAAACAGG